UACGUAGGGAGCGAGCGUUGUCCGGAUUCAUUGGGCGUAAAGAGCUCGUAGGCGGCUUGGUAAGUCGGAUGUGAAACCUCCAGGCUCAACCUGGAGUCGCCAUCCGAUACUGCUAUGGCUAGAGUCCGGUAGGGGCCCACGGAAUUCCUGGUGUAGCGGUGAAAUGCGCAGAUAUCAGGAGGAAUACCGAUGGCGAAGGCAGGUCUCUGGGCUGACACUGACGCUCAUGCACGAAAGCGUGGGGAGCAAACAGG
rnacentral:rRNA from 1 species